rnacentral:lncRNA from 1 species
CCCCGCGCUGAUCAUGCGCCGUGUGGCGCUGGGCGCGCUGCAGGGGCUGAGUUCGCGGAGGCGGCUGAGACGCUGCAUUGGGCGGCUAGAAGUGCUCGGCGUGCUGGCUCCCGGGAGAGGAAGGUCCAGGGCGGGCCGGAGACAUGCACACCACAGAGCGUGGCGAUGGAACAGUAACCGGGCUUGUGAGAGGGCUCUACGGUAUCAACUAGGAGACAAGAUCCACGGAUUCACCGUAAACCAGCUAGUGAUUAUACUCUGUAUCCAUUUUCCACACAAAAUCCCAAGGACCUUCAGAAUCUCCUCUCGGUGUAUUUGGAUGCCACCUUUUUCCCAUGUUUACGCGAGCUGGAUUUCUGGCAGGAAGGAUGGUGGCUGGAACACGAGAAUCCUAGCGACCCCCAGAUGCCCUUGGUCUUUAAAGGAGUCAUCUUUAGUGAGAUGAAGGGAGGGUUUACAGACAAUGAGAGGAUAUUCUCCCAGCACCUUCAAAACAGACUUCUUCCCGACCACACAUACUCAGUGGUCUCCGGGGGUGACCCACUGUGCAUCCUGGAGCUUACAUGGGAGCAGCUUAAGCAAUUUCAUGCCACUCACUAUCACCCAAGCAAUGCUAGGUAAUAUUUUGUUGGAAAAGUUUGAUGGUGGAUUGUGGAAAGUUAACUUGUUUGUGUUCUUACAAUUUCAUGACAUGGCGUCUCUCACAUUUAGCAAUGCUUAGCUUCGAGCCUCUCCUUGGCACGGAGAAGUGCUCUUCCCGUAGUGGAUGCAGUCACAGAACCUUAAUCACAUCCUCACUUUCUGAUACAUCGCUUGUUUCUUAUGUCACUCAUAUAGGUCAUUAUAGUAAUAAUAUAGUUAUAUGUAUUAUAUAAAAUACUAAUAAUUUCCAUAUAAAUGCUAAUGUAAAGACAUAUUUGCAAGAUUAGUUUAUGUAAAAAGAAUUAUGAAAACUUUCAAGCAUACAGAAAAGUAGACUAGGAUAAUGAGCCCCUAAACACUUAUCACAUAAUAGAUAUCCUUUUCCUUGUGACGUUUUUGGAAGUAAGUUAUAAAUGUCAUCAUUUACUCCUAAAUAUUUGAAUUUGUGACCCUAAAACAUGAGGAUUUUUUCUUACAUGAGCUAAUGCCAUUUACAGUUUUAAUAGAAUAAAACAUACUUUCAUAAAACUGCCUAUUUCUUAUUCCAUAUUCAAAUUUUCUAGUUGGCCUCAAAGUGUUUGUGGCACAGGGUCCCACAGAUCACACCUGGUCGGCCCAGGUCUCUCCUGGGCCCCCUCUCGGACGGCAGAGGAGUGUACAGGCCGGGUUUCCUCCGGGCGCUCUCACUUUCCAGGUGUCCUGCUGCUCCUGUGUGGUGUUGGGUGCCAUGUUCCUGUGUUUCCUGAGAACUGGAACUUAGAUCCAAAGCCUUAGUUUGAGUCAGGCUGCGCCUUUUUAAGCAGAGUCCCUCGUGGGGAGCUCUGCGUAGGUGGCCACAUCCUACCUUCCUGUGAGGCCUGCUUGCCUCCACUGGGGGUCUCACGCCAGCGGGGUGCAUGCUGAGAGUCGGCCACUGUCUUGUGAAGAUCUGCUUUUUCCCUUCAGCCACAGACCAUCUGGUGCACUUGAGUUUCUGGUGUCCUGUGAUAAUUCCUCAUCAACCUAUUAAUGGUUUUCA